rnacentral:sRNA from 1 species
AGCAGCCGCGGUAAUUCCAGCUCCAAUAGCGUAUAUUAAAGUUGUUGCAGUUAAAAAGCUCGUAGUUGAAUUUCGGGAUCAGUACGCUGGUCGUGCCUUGUGUAUGUACUGGUGUUACUGGUUCCUACCUUCUGACGAACCGUCAUGUCAUUAAUUUGGUGUGGCGGGGAAUCAGGACUGUUACUUUGAAAAAAUUAGAGUGUUUAAAGCAGGCUCGCGCUUGAAUACAUUAGCAUGGAAUAAUGAAAUAGGACGUUCGAUCCUAUUUUGUUGGUUUCUAGGAUUGACGUAAUGAUUAAUAGGGAUAGUUGGGGGCAUUAGUAUUCAAUUGUCAGAGGUGAAAUUCUUGGAUUUAUUGAAGACUAACUACUGCGAAAGCAUUUGCCAAGGAUGUUUUCAUUAAUCAAGAACGAAAGUUAGGGGAUCGAAGACGAUCAGAUACCGUCGUAGUCUUAACCAUAAACUAUGCCGACUAGGAUCGGAUGAU